GAGGGAGGGAGGAAGGGGUGAACCUUUUAUGAGUAGCAAAGGGAGAAUGUACUAGAAGGGGAGGGGAAUGGAGUAUUCUGGGGUUUUAAGAUGAAGGAGAAAUUGACUGUGGAUAAGUCAAAAGAUUAGUCUUUUGGCAAAAGAAUUUUGUGAUCCAAUAUAGCUUUCCAGUGAAUUUUAUUUACACUGAACAAGUGCACAGGUGUCUUUGGCCAUGAGCGCUGAUGCCAUCCCAAGCUGCAAGGAACUAGUUUUUUCCCAAAGGAUUUGGAGGCUCAGUUGGAAAAGUUUGGUUUUGGGAGGUUUAGAAAAAGAUAAUGCCCAGGUGGGUGGGGCUUUGAAGGGAGCUCCCCUUUGGGGCUGGUGGGCCUCUUGUGUGUGAGGGGGUGAAAGAGAGAGAGAGAGAGAGAGAGAGAGAGAGAGAGAGAGAGAGAGAGAGAGAGAGAGAGGUGUGUGUAUGUGUGUGUUGUAUGUGUGUAUACAUGUAGAAGUCAGAAGAAACUGAAACUUCAGGUCUUAAUUGCUUAGGCGACAUUCUCUCUCUCUCUCUCUCUCUCUCUCUCUCUCUCUCUCUCUCUCUCUCUCUGUCGUCUCUUACUGUCCUGGAGCUCCACAAGUAGGUUACACUUCUGUCUAAUGAGCUUCCAGAAUCCAUUUAUUUCUGCCUCCCCAAUCCCUGUAUUACAAGAACCCAUCACCUUGUAGGAAUAUCUGUAUUUUCUUUCCUUCUUUCUCUCUUUCUUUCUUCCUUUCUCUCUUUCUUUCUUUCUUCUUUCUCUCUUUCUUUCUUUUUUUUAUGUGAGUACUGAGGAUUGAACUCAGAUCCUAGUACUUGUAAGCAAGUACAUUGCUGGUUGAACUGUCUCCCCAUUUCUUGCUUUUCUUCCCUCAAACCCAUGUCAGGAGAGUGUUGUUAGCUGCCCAGACAAACUUGAUAGACAGUUCCUCAGGUCCAAAGCAAGCAGGUUAAAAAUUGGCAUCCAGCUUCUGCCAUUGAUUGGUCUAGACUGCUCACUUGGUCCUGCCUCCAUGAUUUUCUCCAAGGUCUUUCCCACCAACUUGCCCUUUUACCACAUUUCUGUCUGGUUUUUCUUGUCUACUAAUUGUUAAGGAUGAGGUAUUUGAAGUAGGCAGGCCUCAGUUUGAAUCCCACUUAGUAUUAUAUUACUUAGACUCUUUGAUGUUCUUUUCCCAUCUGUAAAAUGGGGAUAAUAAAGCCUACCUCUCAAACUAGUUGUAAGAAUUAAAUAGGAGGAUGUGUCAGUGAGGGCUUGGCACAUAACAAAUGCUUCAUAAACGGUAGUUAACAGUUUACUUUGAAUUUCCUCUCUCCGCUCCCUGGCCACUUUUCAUCAGAGUACACAGAAUCAGAGAGCAAAGAGUGAUGGCCAAAGAGAUGGGCAUACAAGGUGAACGGUGAGGAUGCUGUCUGUACCCCUGUCUUGAAUAUGCUGAAGGAAGUUGGAUCCCCAGUCACCAGUGAUCCCGCAACUGUCCGUACGUGAGUGAUGCACAGACCUAAGUCUCCCAGAGCCAUUUUAGACAGGAUCUCUGCAAAGUGUCACUUCAGCCUACCUUGUUACAGAUAGAUCUACUGAAUUUAAAGCAAGAAGCUGAAGUAUGACUUCUCCUCUUGGGCAUAAGUCACAAGCUAGAGCACUCUGCAGUGUUUCGGUGUGAAGCCGUUUCAGUGUGAAGCUGUUUCAGUGAGGAGAGCCCUGCAAAGAUACUGGGAAUGGAUGCACACUUCUGAGGGAGGGGUUAGAAUCUCCUCAAUGUUUCCUCUUUUUGGAGUUCCUCAUCUGGUCCAGUUUGAUGGCCUCAGGAAGAAAGCAGAGAGAGUGCCUGGGCAUGCUGAGCUUGCAAGAGGCUGAUGGCGUCUGUGACCUGAUUUGGGAUUUUAUGAUCAUUUUCUGGGAUUUCUAAAUUAAGAGGAAGAGUACUUGUCAUUCCUCUCUUCCAAAUAAGAGGAAAAAAGAUGAGUGAAAGGUGACAUUCAGUAAAGGGCUGAAUUUUUAACACAGCUGGUACAUGAUUGACUCCUUCAGUUGGGGGCCGUUCUGCUGUGCGCGCAGGCCUCAUCUUAGGCUGAUGGUGCAAGAGCAGAGUGUGAUUCAGAAGUGCUCAUGUCAAGGUCAUGCUGGAGAAGAAGCUGAAGAGCAAUUACUAGCCAACCACAGCUGGAAGCCUAGAAGAUAGAGCAAUCAGCACCCUGCAUCAAUGGCUGUGCUUCAGACCAAGAGGCAUCCAAGCCACUUCUUCCCAUAUUACCUGGAGUGCCUGUGUGUGAUUUUGAGGGAAGAGGGCAGAUGGAACUAUGAACUUGGUGUCCAUGUCACCUGGGAAAAGAAGCAAGCUCUUGCAUAAGAUGACCGUGGGUCAGGAGAGUGUGCCCUGUAAGUUUAUGGUAUGAAGAGGUUGAGGGGGCCCCUUGGAGCCACUCAGCUAUCCUAGUUUUAACCUGUUCUUGUUCCUCAUCGUUCCCACCUGUAAUUCUGUCUUGGCAACAACUCCACACUGAGUGUUCUCAAAGUACUUUGUAGACUUUAAUUAGUUCCGUGGGAAGUGAGGCAAAGUCCAGCCUUCAUUUUGCCAAAAGAUGUUGGAAGUUGGGGAACAGGGAAGAAAGACAGCUAGAUAGCCAAGCAACUUUCUGAAGGGUGUGUGGUGUAGGAGGGUGUGUGGUUAAAACCCCUGUGUCCUGAGCCUUGGUAGGAAUGUCUUAGCCUUCUAGUCCCAAACAGGCAGUGGGCUCAUCCUACUAACCUACUUUACUAGGGUGUUGUUGAUGAAUGCUUAUAAACCCUAUCCUAGAUGACAGGCUUGGAAGAUAGUUAAGGAAAGCAUGUCAUUAAGUCCCUACUCACCCCCUCUCUACGACUAGCCCUGGAGAAAUGGAUGAUAGCCAGAACCCAAGGGCCCCCACUUCCAUAGAUGUUUGGAGCACUCACCAGCAGUGAGGGAAUCAGGGACGCGGCCUGCAGGAUGAACAGUGGGGACUGAGGAAAGUCUAAAACAGGUGACACAUAGCCAGGUGGGUCAGAAAAGAUUGUCACCAGAUGGCUGACUCCUCCUAAGGCUCUGUGGAUGGCUGCUUUCUUAACAUACAGGACACAGUUUUUGUAGUGUUCCCCCUUCUUUGUAAGGCCCUCUCUGAGGCCUGUCACAAGGUAUCUUUUUAAAUUAGGUUUCUAUUGCUGUGAUAAACACCAUGACCAAAAACAACUUGGGGAAGAAUGGGUUUAUUUCAGUUCUCAAGGGAGGAACCUGGAGGCAAGAACUGAAACAGAAGCCAUGGAGGAAUGCUUCUUACUGGCUUGCUCCCAAUGGCUUGCUCAGCCUGCUUUCUUACACCAUCCAGAACCACCUGCCCAGGGCUGGUACCCCCAUAGCAAGCUGAGCCCUCUCAUACCAAUCAUUAAUCAAGACAAUACCCCCACAGAUUUGCCUAUGGGCCAAUGUUACCGGGACAUUUUCUUGAUUAAGAUUCCCUCUUCCAGGGGACGAGAGAGAUGUCUCAGAGGGUAAGAGCACUUGCUGUUCUUCCAGAGGACCCAGCACCCACAUGGCAGCUCACAACCAUCUGUAACUGCAGUUCUAAGGGGUCCAACACCUUCUUCUGGCCUCUGCAAGCACCAGGCACACAAACAAUACACAGACAUACAAGCAUACAAAAACUUAUACACAUAAAAUAAUAAUUUUUUUAAAAAAAGAUUCCCUCUUCCCAGAUAUGUCUAGGUUUGUGUCACGUUGACAAAAACAACUGGCACAAUAUCAAAGGAGCAUUUCUUUCCAAGGAGUUAGAUGUUCCCCACUCUGUGUGCCCGCAGCCCUUUUGGGUACUCAGGGACCUGGUUGACUCUAGGUCGUUCUAUGCUUCUCUGAAAGAAGUAGUUAAGAGUUUGGGCUCUGACUUAAGAGAUUAGAGUUGCAGGCCUUUCUCAUUUCCGUUCCAGUCAAGUUGAGUAAGUUACUUCUCUAAGCCUUGAUUUUCUCAUCUAUAAAAUGUGCCCAGUAGCAAUCCCUAACCCAAAGGUUUGCUAUGAUGUUAAGUUAAAUGCAAUAAUUCAGAUAAGCCUUAACAUGGCACUAGCAUAUGGCAAGCACUUGACCCGUUUUAACCCUGGCUCUUGUAUCUAAGACUACCUGCAGUACUUUGCUUUCUCGAGUUCCAACCUCUUCCCUGGCCCACUUCUACUUUCUUCAGUGGAAAGUCAGGUUAGACAUCAACUUCCUUUUCAAGUCAGUGAGAGCAAGGUAGAGUUAAGAUGGCCCUCCCACUUAUGUGGACAUGUUACACAUAUUAAUCCUACUCUGGAUGCCUAAUGUGUCCUCAAAAAAGCUGAGUGUGUGUCUUGCUCAGGUGAUCUUUUUAGGUGACUGUGUUGGCAAUGCUCAAACACUGCUCUAGGAGACACAAAAAUCAGAGCUGGGAGAAGAGGGGCUAGUGCUUGAGAACAAGAUGCUUUUCAUUUCCAGGCCAGCUGAAUCCUUCAGCUUCCCAAUCAAAAGGCCUUGGUAUUUCUAUGUUGUAGAUUAAAAAAUGGAAACUCAGAGAGAUUAAAGGCUACACUCAGACUCUUUCUUCUAGGGAUGGCAGAGCCUGGGUCUGAGUGUGGUUCUGAUUCUUACACUGGUCCUUUUUCUACACCCUAAUCACACCCAAAGGAAGGAUCUGCUUUUGCCAAAGGUCAGCGCGUGUGCCUUUAAAUCUCUCACCAUCCCUGCCAGGGACACCUUCCUGAUGCCCCACACCCUGGGGAAACAUGCUCCUCUUUACAUAUUGGUCCUUUUCUAGGAUGCUUCUCCUACGAAAUUCCCUUCUGGUCUUUGAAGCUUAAGAAGUUUCACCACCUCUGAGAAGGUGUCAAAGGAACAUUCCCUUCCAAAGAGUGGAGUAUUCCAUUUUCCACGCGCCCUCAGCACUUUCUUUAUAUUUCUGUUUUACUAUUUGUAAUCUUGUUUUUAGAGUCUCUCCUCACCCCAGUACCCUAUAAACUGUGAUCUUUGAAGACAGGAAUCAACAUCCCCUGUCUGUCAUCGCUCCCCAACACUCAGAGUAAUGACUGAUACCCAGAAGUUGAGUGAGUUAUGGAGGCGAGCAGUCCAGUCUCAGACAGGUGCGAAGUUAGUGAAAUUGCUUCUUAAAAUACCUAAGAGAAGGCUGGCGAGAUGGUUCUGUGGGUAAAAGCAUCUACGCCCAGUCCGAAGACCUGAGUUCCAUCCCCAGACCACACAUGAUGGAAGGAGAGAACCGAUUCUUGCAAGUUGUUCUCUGACCUCCACAUGAAUGCCAUUGCACAUGAGCAUGUGCACCCAUGCAUCUCUCUCUCUCUCUCUCUCUCUCUCUCUCUCUCUCUCUCUCUCUCUCUCUCUCACACACACACACACACACACACACACACACACACACACACACCCCUUUUGAAGUUUUCAAGACAAAAGUAUCUUAAGUGGAUAUACUACAUCCAUGGAAUAAGGUCCUCCAAAGCAAAUGACAGUGGCAUUAUCUCUUUCUGUUAUUUGGGUUAAUUGAUGUGUUAUAUUAACUAUUGUUGGCUGGUCUCUGUUUGCCUCCUCCCCAUAGAGUCCAUCUGGUUGACUGUGUAAACCUAUCUCUUAAAUUGUACACAUCAUUGUGUCUCUUGCUUAGCAUCAAUAACAGGAAGUUUAUUAUAAAUACCAUGCCAUUCUGGGGCUACAGGUUGAGAGUGCUCUCCUGGUCAUUGUGGCUCAUUCCUGAUAGAAUUUGGUGUGGUUUUACUGAAAUCCCAGUAGCUGAAAUAUUUGUUUGCUAUUUCCACACUCUAACUUGAGAAAUAUUUCUUUUCACUUUGUUUUAUUCACUUCAGUUUCUUGCCAUAGUGACUGACACAUAGGAUGCUUGAGAAAUUUUGUUGAGCGUGUAAAUGCUUUCUAUUGCCUUCAGAUAUUUCAUGCAGAUAAAGCAUAUGUGAUGGAAAUAUAAGAGUAAACAAAGAAAACAUGCCUCUGUGCCUAAUCCCCUGGCUUAAGAACUAGAUUGUUGUUAAGAUGUCAAAGCCUCCUUUGUGUCCCAUCCUAAUUAUUUUCAUCUUCUCUUCCUCUGGAGGAAACAUCUACUCUAAUAAUUUUUUACAUUUAUCAUCACCUGCAGUUUAGCUUUGUUACAUAUAGACCUUGGCCAAGACCUUAUAUAGCUCUAAAUAUAUCUGAAUUCUUGUAAAACUUCAGUCGUGAUGUAUGAAUUCUCCAGUGAGCUGCUUUUUUCUCUCAACAUUUUGCCAUUCAUUCUGUUGCUCAUAGACUUCAGUUCAUUUUUAUUGAUAUGUUAUGAAGAAAUGACUAAACCACAAUCCACUUAACCAUGCUCCUAUCAAGAGGUAGACCAGUUGUCCACAGAUAGCAUACUCAGUGCUGAAAGCCCCCAGGCUUCCCUCUAAGGUCAGAAACAAGGUGAAGGUGUCUGUCUGUUCUGGGAGUUUUAGCCCCAACAAUCAAGCAAGAAAAACCAGUGCAAGGUCAGGGGAUCUUCAGUGAAGAUGUCAAGAACCCCAGUGGAGAAGGACUCAUCUCUUCAGCAAACGGUGCUGGGAAAAUUGGACAUCUACACACAAGAAAGAGAAGCUUGCCAACACCACCAAAAUUGCCAACACCACCAAAAACAAAAAAAAGCAAAAUGCUGAAAAUGUGUCAAUGACCCAAAUGUAAGACCUGAAACCAGAAAACUCUCCUGUCCUAAUGUGAAAUAUAGGGGAAAGCUUCAUGAGUUUGGAUUUGACAGUUAUUCCUUGGAGAUGAUACCCAAAGCAUAGGUCACAGAAGCUAAAAACAGACAACUGAGAGCAUGCUAAACAUCAGACCUGCACACGCAGGACGAGAGCAACGCUGCAGACAAGUGACCUGUAAAACAGGAUGGUGUUGCAAAGCAUCUGACAGGGUCAACCCCGAAAACCUCUAGGGAAACCUCACAACUCAACAGCACACCCAAGCAAUCUCCUUAGAAAGUGGGCAGACAACUGGAGUAGAGAUCUAUCCAGAGAAGGCACACAAGGGCACGCAAGCAAAUGCAGUCAUCAGAGAUCUGAAAACAAGGCACAGAGAUUCAUCUCCUCACACCCGGCAGGAUGGCCACAAGUGGGAACUAGGGAGGUGGCUCAGCAAUUAAGAGUACUCACUGCUCUUGCAGAGGACCUGAAUUGGCUCCCCAGCACCCAUAUCUGGCUGCUCACACCCACCUGUGACUCUACCUCCAGGGGGUCCAGUUUCCUCUUCCUGCCUCUUCAGGCACCGACAUGCAUAUUCCCAGUGUUCUCUCACUGUGUGCAAGAAUUCCAGUCCUUCUGCCCUCUCAUAACCCUUGAAAAGCUUGCCCAUCCGAUGGCUAUUUCAAUUGACUUUUUUUUCCUUUUUGAUUUUUCAAGACAAGGUGUCUCUGUGUCCUGGCUGUCCUAGAACUCACACUGUAGAUCAUGCUGGCCUUGAAUUCAGAGAUCCACCUACCUCUGCCUCUUAAAUGCUGGGAUUAAAACAUGUGCCACCAAGCCCAGCCUCAGUUGAUAUUUUCUGAAGAGUAGAGAAUUUGUGUAUCUUUUGGGACAUUUUUUCGGCCCUCUGGGUUUCUACUCAAGUGAUGAUCUCUUCCUGGUUGGGCACAUUUUAUGUUAUUCAGGUUGCUUUUUCUUGUAGCAUGAAUCUUAAAAGUUCUUAUUAAUAAAAUCAAACCUGAGCCAGGUAUUGGAAUGAACGCUGGAAGAUCAGAGAGACAGAACAGGCCACAGCCACCUCACCUCACCAUUUCCUCAGCUGAUCCUGUUUCCUCAGACUGGAAGCCUCUGAGUCCUCAUCCAGAAUGAAUCUCAGCUGAAUUGCUGCUAGAAGCCUGAAAGCUUAACCAGCCAAGUGCUUCUAGUUUCUGGUUCUCACACCUUAUAUACCUUUCUACUUUCUACCAUUACUGCCUGGGAUUAAAGGUGUGUGUCACCAUGCCUGGCUGUUUCCAAUGUGGCCUUAAACUCACAGAGAUCCAGAGGGAUUUCUGCCUCUGGAAUGCUAGGAUUAAAGGUGUGAGUGCCACCAUUUUCUAGCCUUUGUAUCUAAUGGCUGUUCUGUCUCUGACCCCAGAUAAGUUUAUUAGGGUGCAUAAUAUUUUGGGGAACACAAUACCACCACAUUUUCUUACUGAUUUUUUUUAAUCAGUUAUUCACAUAUUCUGUGUACAAAUUUUUUAUACAUCAUUGAAUAGCUACUGUCUUCCACCUGGUGAUUGGUUAUCUCACUUUGUAAAUACGCCUUUAAGGAAAAGAAGGUUGGGGCUGGAGAUAAGGCUCAGUGGUGUGCAUAUGCUUGAUGUAUGAGACACCCCCCCAUCUUUAGAGCUCCAUGCCCCUCCAGCACUCUAUACCCCCCCAAACAGGAAACAAGCUUUAGGCAUAGCCAAAUUUAUUUAUCUUUUCUAUUAUGCCUUGUUCUUUUAUAACAUGGGGUUUUCUCUUAAAAAAUUAAAGUUGUUCUGGAAUAGAUUAUUUUAAUUUUAUUUAUGUGUAUGUUAUCUGUGCCCUUGUGUGUGCAGGUGCACACACACCUGAAUGUUUCUGUGAAAUCCAGAGGCUGGUGUCAGUCCUCUGUCGCUCUCCAUCUUAUUUUUUGAAACAGGGUCUGUCCCUGAGCCUGGAACUCACUCUUUCAGCUAGACUGGUUCAUCAGUGAGCCCCCCAGAAUCCAUCUGCCUCCACCUCCCACCGGAGCUGGGUUUACAGACAUGCACCCUGCUUUUUUUUAACACCAGUGCUGGGGAUCCAAACCCAGAUCCUCAUGCCUGUGCAACAAGCGCUUUCCCUGGUGGGCCGUCUCUCUCGCGGCCCAUAGAUCUAGUAGAAUAGAUUUUGAAGAGAUGUGAAAACCAGUAAUGGGAGUUGGGAGUGGUGCAGAGAGAGGCUUUCCUUAGGCUGGUGAUGUGGCAGUUGGUAGAGUGUUUGCUUGGCUCACCUGAGGUCUUGGAUAUGAUCUCCAGUACUACAUAAACUGGGUGUGGUAGCCCAUGACUAUAAUCCAGUACUUGAGAAGUGGAGACAGGAGAAUCAGGAGUUCAAGGUUAUCCUGAGCUACACAGUUCAAGGUCAGCCUGGACUAUGCGAACCCCUAUCUCAAAGGCAAAUAAACAAAGAAAUCAAAGAAAAGCAAAUAGUUUCUUCCUCCGUGGAGAAGGCAGGUGGAAGGCAGUAUGUCUAUGUGCUCUCGAGCCAAGGUUGCUGUGGGGACAGUAAUUUAACCUGAGGAAGGACAGUCUGCCCCCAAGGGUUUGCAGUUUCAGGUGCUUGUGGGAGCAAUAGACUCCGCAGGUUGCAGGUGACGUAUCACCUGGAAGGAGGUACCAUGUUUCUCCACUUCUCUGUGAACAACAGAGUGCCCAGCACAAACCAAGCCAAGUGUGGGCACCGCUCUGUCCAUCUUUCUCUCUACUCCCAUUUCUUACCUGUAACUUUCUACCCGGUGGUAGCAAAGUGAUCUCAAGAAGGUAAAAGACAAAGCUCUGAGGAUUAGAAGACGACAAGGGACGAGCAGAAGUAGGACCAUCCUUCCCUUGGAGCCUGUGAAAGCAGCAGUGGAAGGUUUAAGUGGAGGAGCAGA